AGUGUCCGACCGAAUGUUCGGUUUCGGUUUCGUUUUCGGUUGAGUUUCGGUAAAAACACGAGUUUCGGUUUAGUUUCGUUUUCGGUGGCAAACUUGCCGAAACUACGACCGAAACCGAAUGUGCAUUCGGGAGUUUCCGCGCUGUUAUCGGUCAUGUUCGGCGCGUUGAAUGAGGAAUGAAUCCGAUCCCGAUCAGAGCCAAUGUCGUGAUUUGCUCGCUUGUUUGUUUGCUGUUAGUUUUGUUUUGUUGUGGUGGCGAAUUUUCGAGUGAUUUAUUUUGAAUUUGCCGAAAGACGUCCACUGCUGGACAAAGGCCUCUCCCAAGGAUUUCCACGAAGACCGAUCCUGCGCCGCUCGCAUCCAGGCACCUCCCGUGACCUUCACCAGAUCGUCGGUCCACCUAGUGGAAGAACUUUCCUGCCCCAGCGGCCAUCAGCUCUACGAGCUAUGUGCCCCGCCCACUGUCACUUUAUUUUAGCGAUUCGAAAAGGCGCUUUAUAAGUUCAAUUUUAAUGCAAUUGAAAGAGAAAACAAUAAAGACUGACUGAUUAUAAUAA